CCAAUACUGACACUGAGGAGCGAAAGUCUGGGGAGCGAACAGGAUUAGAUACCCUGGUAGUCCAGACCGUAAACGGUGGGCACUAGUUGUGGGGACCUUCCACGGUUUCUGCGACGCAGCUAACGCAUUAAGUGCCCCGCCUGGGGAGUACGAUCGCAAGAUUAAAACUCAAAGGAAUUGACGGGGCCCCGCACAAGCAGCGGAGCAUGCGGCUUAAUUCGACGCAACGCGAAGAACCUUACCAAGGCUUGACAUAUAGGGAAAAGUGGCAGAGAUGUCAUGUCCGCAAGGGCUCUAUACAGGUGGUGCAUGGUUGUCGUCAGCUCGUGUCGUGAGAUGUUGGGUUAAGUCCCGCAACGAGCGCAACCCUCGUUCUGUGUUGCCAGCAUUUAGUUGGGGACUCACAGGAGACUGCCGGGGUUAACUCGGAGGAAGGUGGGGAUGACGUCAAAUCAUCAUGCCCCUUAUGUCUUG
rnacentral:rRNA from 1 species